GACUUGUUAGCCAAGUAGUGGUAAAGGCAGCACUUAUAGUAUAGUGCUGUAGCUUGUAGCUAAGGUUGCUGGUUCAAAUCCUGCCCAAGUUG
rnacentral:tRNA from 1 species